CACCCUCUCCCUCUGACCUGCUUUCUUCUCCCAAGUUUCUCAAAUACAAUUUAAUUUCUCACAAGUAAUAUCAAUCUUUCCUCAAUUUUCCAUAUAGAUUAAAGACAAAUGGCAUCUUUAAGGAUAUGAUAAACUUCUCACCACAGGGAAGAAAUGAAAGGCUCCAAGACUCCUUCCUCCUGGUACUUCAUGCUCUUCUCUCUGGCAUGCGAGGGAGUGCAGCAGGACAGGGCCCGGGGACACGUCUUGGUUUGGGGAUGUCCUCAUCCUUCACCCCUUGCUUCCUUAUAAGGAUGAUCUCCUUGAGCAGGUGUGAGGGUGUGCGCUCGAUGGCGGAGUGGAUGGAGCGCAGCAGCACUGAGAGAGCCUCGUUGACAAAAAUGAACACAAUGCUCACCUCCGGCAAGCUGUUGGGGAACGACAGGUUUCGGCACCUGGAAAGAAGAACAGCCAAGUUCUUGGAUCUGUUGGCCAUUCAGCUGGAGGCACCAGGUGAAGCCCCACCCUUCCUCUCACUCCAGCUUAGCUGCUGGCGGGCUCAGGAGUCCGGAUUCUUCCCAGGGCCUCUUCUCUGUUACCUAGAUGAUCCCUACGUGUGCAGCAGAAAGACCCACAGCCACUGAAAC
rnacentral:lncRNA from 1 species